rnacentral:rRNA from 1 species
GACGUAGGGUGCGAGCGUUGUCCGGAUUUAUUGGGCGUAAAGAGCUCGUAGGCGGCUUGUUACGUCGGCUGUGAAAACCCGCGGCUCAACCGCGGGCCUGCAGCCGAUACGGGCAGGCUAGAGUUCGGUAGGGGAGACUGGAAUUCCUGGUGUAGCGGUGAAAUGCGCAGAUAUCAGGAGGAACACCUGUGGCGAAGGCGGCCCCCUGGUUGGAUACUGACGCUGAUACGCGAAAGCGUGGGGAGCAAACAGG